CACAGUCAUCCACCUGCCUAAAAAAAUCACUCACAAUCAUCCCCCUGCUUCAGAAAAUCACUCACAGUCACUCCCCGCGCCUGUGCUCCCAGAUUUAAAACGCGACCCCCUCACCGGGUCGGAUCCGCCAGCCUGACCGGCUUCCCCUCACCCUGGCUGGGAUGCGACCGGCAGAUCCGACCCCUUGGAGGACUUCCGGAGCGGAAGUUUUUCCCGGCGUGCUCUCUGUCGCCACCCGGUGGUGACCGAGGAGAAUGCGGGCGUCGUGACCGUUCGAUUUUCUUUGUUUUUAAUUAAAAUUUCUGUUUCCUGCGGCUGCCGUCUCGUUCCGAGUCUGUCUGUCUGUCUGUCUGUCUGUCCGUGUGUGCGGAGGCUGAGCUCCCGGCAGCCUUUGCUGAGGCGGGUGUGCGGACCUGACCCUCACCCACAGCAGCCACUCGUGUCAUCCCCCUGCCUCAGACAGUCACUUUGCGUCAUUCCCCUGCCUCACAGAUUCACUCAGUGUCAUGCCCCUGCCUCAUAAACUCACUCACAGUCAUCCCCCUGCCUCAGACAGUCACUCAGCGUCACCCCCCUGCCUCAGACUGUCACUCAGCGUCACCCCCCUGCCUCACAGAUUCACUCAGUGUCAUCCCACCCCGUGACGUUGACGCUCGCAGGCCACCGGGUGGCGACAGUGAGGCCACGAAGGAAAAAAAAACCCUGUGAAGUUUGGACCCGGGGUUCGCGUGACCUUUGCCCCGCUCCCAGAGCAGCUUUGGGUGGCAGUGGGCGGGCACUCUCUGCUCAGAACCUGCAGCCCGGGAGCUGGACCGGGAAGACAGACGGACGGACAGACAGACGGACGUGCCCUGCAGGUGUGGACACUCCCACAGGGUGGCAGUUGGCCCAGCCGCCUGGGGAAUUCCGGGUGGGCGGAGCCAGGGAGCCUCACUGACUGACAGGCGGGCGGGGCGGGGCUCCCGGGCAGUCGUCUCCAUGGCGACGGCCCAGCCGCCUGCCUGACCCUCCCCCACUCCCACAGGGUGGCAGUUGGCCCAGCCGCCUGGGGGAUUCCGGGUGGGCGGGGCCCCGAGUGUGAUUGACACUGGGCUCUGAGCCCUGGCACGCAGACCUGGAAGGCCCGGCUGCCUGCGUGUCUGUCUGUCUGUCUGUCUGUCUGUCCGUGUGUGCGGAGGCUGAGCUCCCAGCAGGCUCUGCUGCGGCGGGUGUGCGGACCUGACCCUCCCCCACAGCAGCCACUCAC
rnacentral:lncRNA from 1 species